CCCUUAGAUGUUCUGGGCCGCACGCGCGCUACACUGACGGAUUCAACGAGCUUACAACCUUGGCCGAAAGGUCUGGGUAAUCUCCAAAAUCCGUCGUGAUGGGGAUAGAUUAUUGCAAUUAUUAAUCUUCAACGAGGAAUGCCUAGUAAGCGCAAGUCAUCAGCUUGCGUUGAUUACGUCCCUGCCCUUUGUACACACCGCCCGUCGCUCCUACCGAUUGAAUGGUCCGGUGAAGCGUUUGGACUAUGGUUUUCUGACGGUUCGCCAUUGGAUUACCGUGGGAAAUUCGUUAAACCUUAUCAUUUAGAGGAAGGAGAAGUCGUAACA
rnacentral:rRNA from 1 species